CCGCAAGUCUUUCUCUGAGUGACUCCAGCAAUUAGCCAAGGCUCCUGUACCCAGGCAGGACCUCUGCGCUCUGAGCUCCAUUCUCCUUCAAGACCUCCCCAACUUCCCAGGUUGAACUACAGCAGAAGCCUUUAGAAAGGGCAGGAGGCCGGCUCUCGAGGUCCUCACCUGAAGUGAGCAUGCCAGCCACUGCAGGAACGCCCCG
rnacentral:lncRNA from 1 species